GCGGGUGUAGUUCAGUGGUAGAACACGUGCUUCCCAAGCACGAUACGCGGGUUCGAUUCCCGCUACCCGCUCCA
rnacentral:tRNA from 1 species